rnacentral:tRNA from 1 species
GGCCUGGUAGUCUGGUAGUUCAGUUGGUUAGAAUGCCAGCCUGUCACGCUAGAGGUCGAGGGUUCGAGUCCCUUCCAGGUCGCCA